GUGAAUCAUCGAAUUUUUGAACGCAAAUUGCACUCUUUGGUAUUCCGAAGAGUAUGCUUGUUUGAGGGUUGUUCCAAUAAAAUCGUUUUUUUUUUAAAAACGGAUCUGAGUUUUCCAAGGUUUAUGAUUUUGGUAACUUUAAAUUCAUCUUAACGAUAUCUUUGGUAUGAUAUUGGAAAUGGUUAUAUUCUUACUUCUCGUGAGUUUCAUUAACAAUCGAUUACCUGUCGUUACGUCGUAUCAUUGGCCCAAUCCUUUUGAUUGGAUCACAUGAUACAAUUUUUUCUUUCAACACCUCAAG
rnacentral:misc_RNA from 1 species